UACGUAGGGGGCAAGCGUUGUCCGGAAUCAUUGGGCGUAAAGCGCGUGUAGGCGGCCCGGUAAGUCCGCUGUGAAAGUCGGGGGCUCAACCCUCGGAUGCCGGUGGAUACUGUCGGGCUCGAGUACGGAAGAGGCGAGUGGAAUUCCUGGUGUAGCGGUGAAAUGCGCAGAUAUCAGGAGGAACACCUAUGGCGAAGGCAGCUCGCUGGGACGUGACUGACGCUGAGACGCGAAAGCGUGGGGAGCAAACAGG
rnacentral:rRNA from 1 species